AUUUGGCGUCAAUAGCCAAGAAGGCAUCUUCUAAAGCCUUCUGUAGCUUGCCUUCCUUGUAGGCCUUCUGAUCUUUGAUGAUAUCAGGAAGAUAUUUGGCACAGUACAAGGCAACUUCCUCCCCUCCAUGUCCAUCGUAGACAGAAAACAUGGCUGUCUCACUGUCCAGCUCAGGAAUACAGUUGUGAGCAUCCUCCAUGGAGACGCGCCAGCCUUGCAUGGCGGAGAAGCCGUAGGGCAGCGGCAGGCGCGGG
rnacentral:misc_RNA from 1 species